UCGAAAGCUCAAGGUCCUGAGUUCCAUUCCCGGUACCAAAAAAAAAAAAAAAAAAUCACCACAGAUCUUUAAAAAUCCCUGACACUCAGGCCAGAUCAAUUAAACCAGAAUCCCUCGGGGACCCCAGAAGGCAUCCGGAGUUUCUAAAUUUCCCCAAAUGAUACCAGUGUGCGGCCAAAAAAUGGUCUGCUGGGGGGAUCGAGCCUCAUCAGCUCUGAAUUUGCCUCUUCUGAAACCUCCUCAUGGGACUGGGCUAGAAAUGCAGCCUCCGAUGGCUCCCGGCCAACGCAGGAGAAUCCACUUUCCCAGGAGCCCGGGAGGUUUACACGCAUGCGCACUGAAGUCCUGGCAGUUUUGUUCGAAAUGACACCGAAAGGAAGUGGCAGGCGAAAGUGUCCUGGGGUGAGGGUCACACUGAUGGUGUCCGGAGCUGCACCCACCAGCUCUCAGUGACCGACGCGAAUGUGUUAAACUCCUACAGCUCAGCAGAGCCUUCCUCCAGGGCCCGUGAGCACCUCUGAAAUGAAACCUUCAGUCUCUGGAGAGGGUGGAAGCCUCACUCAGUGGACACCCUGCUCCAACUUGCACACUACCUCCCAGCAUCAAGAGCGGCAGGGCCUCAAGUCGCAGUUUCCGCGCCUGGUUCACUUGAAGGCGGGUUUUGCUUUGAGAGUUGCGCUCAGAUCUUCUGGGGCUGCAGACGUUGGUCAUGGAAGAGGGGCGGCCAUGUCACCCCGAAUCUCAGCGGGCCGGACUGAACCCAGAGCCUUCACACAGAACUCUAUUCUCAACGCACCUCCAUGGAUCACACCUUUCUGAAGCACACAAACAAAUGGAAAACAAAUUGAAGCAGCUUUUCCUCACUUUCUCCUCUCCUUCAUGCAGCGAUGCCCAAAGGCUUUCUCCUGCCCAGAUCUGGACGUUCAAAAGCCAGCGCAGUCCUCACCCCCAGAGGCAGCUGGCUUCGAGGGGACUUUCUCAAGGCAACCUUGGCGUUUUUGCAAAUGUUAACUAAACAUUUUGAAGUCUGGAAACGGAGAACGAGAAGUGCUUUUGCUCUUUACAAAUAUCACCUUCCUACGUUUGAAGUAAACUAAAUCUCUGCUCUAGUGCUCACCA